rnacentral:tRNA from 1 species
GCCCCCGUAGCUCAGUGGAUAGAGCGUCGGUUUCCUAAACCGUGCGUCGCAGGUUCGAUUCCUGCCGGGGGCGCCA